GUUGCCAUCCAACGCUGUGAGCCCUCUUGGUAAGGAUUGCAUUAUUUCAUCCAUGAAAGCAGUAAGUUGCCCAAUUAAUUCAUUUGCUUGCAUCAAUUUGCUAGAUUGUUUUAUGUAGGUAUCGAUUGUUAUGUGUUAAAUGUCCCAAAGUAUAAGAAACCAAAAGAGAGAAGAGUACAAAGACAUGGGGUGUGUAUUAAAUAGACUAAUUUAUUGUGUCAAAUUGGAUAUUACAACCUACAGAAUCAGUAGAGAAUCAGUUAAAAAAAUGAAAUGACAUGAAAAAUGAAAAUUGUUUAUGGCAUGUUUUGUUGGCUUGCUGAACAUGUACAUGUAUUUAAGUGACUUUAAAUAAACAAAACAUGGCUUUGUUUUGCAAUUUGUAUCUUUUAUUUAAACUUGAAAAGUUUAAUCUUGCAUUAUGUCUACAUGGCGUUAACACCUAUGUUAGAUUAAUUACAUGCUUGGUAACCCAAACUUUAAUUUAUUAAAAAAAAAAUUUAUCAUUUAGCUAUGAAGCUUAGGAGUAUUCAUGCACAUGUAAGAAGUUCAUGUAUCUAGUCUUUAUACUUUUUUCUUGGGGGUUAAAUUUCAAAUAGGGUUUAAAAUUUUAGGGAAAUUAUCAUUCAUAUACCCUAUAUUUGCUCUGUUAUCAAAAAUACUACAACACUUUGAGGGUGUAUCAAUCGUCCACCCUUAGUUGAUAAAAUGUAUCAGCCGACCACAAAACCGUUAGUUAUCGUUUGAAAGUUAACGGAGUUACAGUGAAUUGACAAUUUUACCCUUAAAAAUUAUCACUUGUAUACCCUUAGAUUCUCUUUUUAUCACUUGUAUACCCUUAAAUUAUCACUUGCAUCAUAUGAAAAGACCAAAUUACCCUUCUGACAUCAUCAUACUUAAACGGCAACUAACGGUUUGGUGGUCAGCUGAUACAUUUUGUCAACUUAGGGUGGACGAUUGAUACACCCUCAAAGUGUUGUAGUAUUUUUGAUAAUGGAGUAAACUAAGGGUAUACAAAUGAUAAUUUCCCAAAAUUUUAAUCUUAAUACUUUUUUCUGUUCUAUAAAUGUGUAGCAAAAUUCUUCAGCAAACUGUGGAUGAAGUCAAAAGAAAUCCUUCCUAACUAGCACAUGCCGACUUUUAUGAAACUUGCAUUUUUUUUCUCGUCUCCCAUGGGAGUAGCUGAACCCAUUGAGGUAAUGCUUAAUUCAAUCAUUUCUUGAUGGUUUAUUAAAAUAUAGCAUAUAUGUUUUAUUGUCUUAUAUUUUAUACAUGUAUUUUGGAUUUGGAAUUUCUAUUAAUAGACUUCGCUUUCUACCCAUAAAAUGAGAAUAUAAUUAUACUUUUGUAGCUAGUUUGAGCCACAAACAUAAAGAAUGUUCACCUUAGCAAAAAUAAGCUCCACCAUUUUUUAAAUAAUUGAUAGUGCACCGUGUCUAAGUGAAUGAUUGAGAGAUCUUUGCAAUUGAUCCAGUGAUCUUUCUUCAAUCUUUCCUUUUGGUUUCUUCAUCUCAAUGACCUUAAGCCAUUUUUUAUUCCUGUACUUUAAUAAUUGAAUAUGUUUAGUAUCUUUUUGUAGAAGUGAAGUUUCUAAAAAGCUGGUGUUGUAUUUUGACCCCAGAUUGUUAUAAUUGUGUCUCGAAGAUUUGAUAGGAAAUUGGAAAGUACUGCAAGAGUUUGGUACUAUACAUUUUUUUCUUAAGAAUACUUAUUUAAUUCAUCAGUCAUACCCUAAGAAUACUUAAGAUGAAAAGGAUUAAUAUCAAUUCUGAGCAUGUUAGGGAUCUUUGGUAAUUACUGUUAGGUGUGCUAUGUGCUGGUUCUGUUUAUUUCCAUGUUCUUGCUUUCCGUAAUUUCUAGAAAAUGUUGAGUGGUUGGUUACAGAUUAUUGUUUUAGUUAUAUUGACUUGUUAGUAAUUGGAUAUGAAGUUGGAUGUGAUGAGUACAC
rnacentral:lncRNA from 1 species